rnacentral:rRNA from 1 species
AAUAGAUACCCCGGUAGUCCACGCCGUAAACGAUGGAUGCUAGCUGUUAUCGGUAUCGACCCCGGUAGUAGCGAAGCUAACGCGUUAAGCAUCCCGCCUGUGGAGUACGGUCGCAAGACUAAAACAUAAAGGAAUUGACGGGGACCCGCACAAGCGGUGGAGCGUGUUGUUUAAUUCGAUGAUAAGCGAAGAACCUUACCCAGGCUUGACAUCCUUGGAAGCUCUCCGAAAGGAGAGUGUGCUUUUGAACCAAGUGACAGGUGAUGCAUGGCCGUCGUCAGCUCGUGUCGUGAGAUGUUUGGUUAAGUCCAUCAACGAGCGCAACCCUUGUAGUUAGUUGAAUUUUUCUAGCUAGACUGCCCUGGUAACAGGGAGGAAGGAGGGGAUGAUGUCAGGUCAGUAUUUCCCUUACGUCUGGGGCUACAAACACGCUACAAUGGCCGGUACAAAGGGCAGCCAAGUCGCGAGACGGAGCAAAUCCCAUCAAAGCCGGUCCCAGUUCGGAUAGCAGGCUGAAACUCGCCUGCUUGAAGUCGG